GCAAAAGUUUACAAAAUUUGGUGUUUCGGCUUAGAAGUGGUGACAAUGAAGGCCCUGAUCCUACAAACGCACUGCCAUUAGAAGUCCAGUUCAAGGCACAAACAGGCUCCUUCCAACACGUAGGCUGGGUGAAACGAAGGUCCGAUAAAUCCCCAGUGUCUGUAAUUCCUUCUGCCUCGCCUCCAGGGCUCAGGAUACAGGAGGCAAGCCUGGUGGUGAGCUCAGAAACCCAACCCAACCGGAGCAGCAUCAAGAAUUCACCCUUCUCCUGCACAACUCCCACCCCUCCCAUCUCCCGAACGCUGACUUUCGGAGGAAUCUUACCCUUUCAAUAAGCCAAGACUCCUCUCAAGGCAACAUACAAAAUUGCAUACGAAAGAGUAACCCAGCAGCAGCAGAAAACAAAAAAAGCCUCCUGCACAAAUCACUCCCCUACUGAAUGUUAAAAUCCUGAGGUAAAAUCUUUCCAUAUCCACUGCAAGGACUCUUUUGAACAGGACACAAAUGUAUUGAUUAUAUACAAGAAUGUAUUGAAUUAUUCCAGACAUUGGCACCGUUCUACUGUGUUUUCAUGAUCUGGAGUGAUUAAAAUAUCAGAAAAAGUUAAUGGAGCAAAGCAGCAACAGUUCAGAUCUUUUGAAUAUGGGAAGUUUAUUUUUAAAAUACUUCCAGCUGGUUCUCUGGCUAAAAAGCCUGUUAUCUGUAGCUAUUGCCAGGCUGAGGUCCAACACCGUAGAAGUACUUCAAGUCUGCAAUACCGCCUACGUGCCAAGCAUGCUUUUGCCUCCAGAUCUUGUGCUACAGAUAACACGCUGCCCAUGGGUGGCUGGUAUCGGAGCCUGGGCCUCCUCAAACAGCCUGGCGUGGCCCUGCCCAUACUCCACCCCCACGGCCCCUCCCGGCGCUCUGCCCUGGCCUAG